rnacentral:rRNA from 1 species
ACGCUCGACACCUACAGGAGGCAGCAGUGGGGAAUAUUGCACAAUGGGGGAAACCCUGAUGCAGCGACGCCGCGUGAGCGAAGAAGUAUCUCGGUAUGUAAAGCUCUAUCAGCAGGGAAGAAGAUGACGGUACCUGACUAAGAAGCACCGGCUAAAUACGUGCCAGCAGCCGACGGUAAUCUGAGGCGGGCUGGACGAAGGC